rnacentral:rRNA from 1 species
GACAGAGGUGGCAAGCGUUGUUCGGAUUUACUGGGCGUAAAGAGUGCGUAGGUGGUGAGGUAAGACCUGUGGGAAAGACCUGGGCUUAACCCAGGAAGGUCGCAAGUGACUGCCUUGCUUGAGGACGGGAGAGGAGAGCGGAAUUCCCGGUGUAGCGGUGAAAUGCGUAGAGAUCGGGAAGAAGGCCGGUGGCGAAGGCGGCUCUCUGGAACGUUCCUGACACUGAGGCGCGAAAGCGUGGGGAGCAAACAGG